rnacentral:rRNA from 1 species
GACGAACGCUGGCGGCGUGCUUAACACAUGCAAGUCGAACGGUAAGGCCCUUUGGGGUACACGAGUGGCGAACGGGUGAGUAACACGUGGGUGAUCUGCCCUGCACUUCGGGAUAAGCCUGGGAAACUGGGUCUAAUACCGGAUAGGACUCCGGACUGCAUGGUCUGGGGUGGAAAGCUUUUGCGGUGUGGGAUGGGCCCGCGGCCUAUCAGCUUGUUGGUGAGGUAGUGGCUCACCAAGGCGACGACGGGUAGCCGGCCUGAGAGGGCGACCGGCCACACUGGGACUGAGACACGGCCCAGACUCCUACGGGAGGCAGCAGUGGGGAAUAUUGCGCAAUGGGCGAAAGCCUGACGCAGCAACGCCGCGUGCGGGAUGACGGCCUUCGGGUUGUAAACCGCUUUCAGCAGGGAAGAAGCCGCAAGGUGACGGUACCUGCAGAAGAAGCACCGGCUAACUACGUGCCAGCAGCCGCGGUAA